UGCAUGUUAUUGAAUAUAAAGAAAAGACGAACAGCUCAGUAACUCUUAUUUUAUUUGAUGUAUUAGGACAUUAACUAUGUUAAAUUAUAGCUAAUAAUAAUACAAUAAGAAUAAGAUCUAUCAGUUAGUUGUUAAGGUAAUGGCUUAACAAGACAGUGACGGAUAACGGUAUUACUUUGUAAUAUUCCGGAGAAGGAGCCUGAGAGAUUGCUACUAAGUCUAAGGAUUGCAGCAGGGGCGAAACUUGACCUAUGAUAUAUUAUUGAGGCAGUUAUGAGUAGUAUUUUAUAAUUAUUGUAGUAUUGUAAGUAUAUAUUACAAGAUAAAUCGGAGGGCAAAUCGAGUGCCAGCAGCCGCGGUAAUACUUGUUCCGAUAGUGUGUAUGAUGAUUGAUGCAGUUAAAAAGUCUGUAGUUUAUAUUUAAUAAGCAUUGUAAGGUAUAUUGUAUGGUUAGGAGAGAGAUGAAAUGUGAUAACCCUAACUGGAUGAACAGAAGCGAAAGCUAUAUACUUAAAUGUAUUAUUAGAACAAGGACGUAAGCUAGAGGAUCGAAGAUGAUUAGAUACCAUUGUAGUUCUAGCAGUAAACUAUGUUGAAUCAUAGAUAAAAAACAUUUUUAUUUAUGUAGAGAAAUUAAGAUUAUAUUGACUCUGGGGAUAGUAUGAUCGCAAGAUUGAAAAUUAAAGAAAUUGACGGAAGAAUACCACAAGGAGUGGAUUGUGCGGCUUAAUUUGACUCAACGCGGGGUAAUUUACCAGGUAUAACAUGAUAUAAAAUUUUAUCAUGAUAGUGGUGCAUGGCCGUUUCCAAUGGAUGCUGUGAAGUAAUGAUUAAUUUCAACAAGAUGUGAGACCCUCUAUAAGACAGAUGUAGUGAUACAUAUGAAGGAGAGGAUUAAAACAGGUCCGUUAUGCCCUAAGAUAAUCUGGGUUGCACGCGCAAUACAAUAAUAUUGAAUAUUAUAAGGGAUAAUAUAAUGUAAGAUAUAUUUGAACAUGGAAUUGCUAGUAAAUUUUAUUUAAUAAGUAGAAUUGAAUGUGUCCCUGUUCUUUGUACACACCGCCCGUCGCUAUCUAAGAUGGUAUUAUCUAUGAACAAAUUUAUAAAGUGAAUAGAUAGUACUAGAU
rnacentral:rRNA from 1 species